GCAGGUGGCCUUCCUGCCGUUUCUGCGCUGCGGGCGGCGUCCAUUUCGCUUGCAAGCUUCGUUGCGUUCGCACGCCUUUUUCUGGCUCCCGUUGUCUCGCGUUCCGUCGUUGUUCUGGUGCCCUGGACUGCUGUGAAUGUGUUUUUAUGCCCUACUAGUGUUGCCUGGGGGUGCUUUUAUGUGUGCACCCUGGAAGAUAGGUCCAGAAGCCUUGCGAUUUCUUAGAUUAAAGCUAAGUGUACUCGUGACCCUACCAGCACUUUUCAAGAUACUUUCGACGUAUUCAUUGCGGUGAACAACGCGGUUGCGACAGCGCACUCACGACGUGGGAAGGUCACAGAAAUGUUGAAAGACAUCAGAUUGGGCAUACGCUUCACCCGUGCAACUUCGUUAUGUGCUCCACAGCUUUACGGCUGUGCCACUGUAUGUAAAAAAUGCUGAGUGAUUUUAAUAAAGAAUUUGCAGGGAAGUACAAUGUGUCGCACCUUGUUGACUCUUUUACAGAUGUGUGGAAACGUCGUAGCGGAUGAAUGUGAAUUAUGGAUCUCCAAGUGGCGUCGCCCGCGUCAUUUUCAAGAUUUUACCCGUUUUGAAGGUACGUAGUGAAUGUGCGAGGCAUUCACGUUCCUACUACGUGGUUAUCCAUGCGUUUCCCGUCUUCGCAGGCAAUAGGGCUGUUGAUAGGGAGAAUGCUAGGCUACUGUAGACUGCAACCAUAGGCGCUGUGUCUAAAGGUUAAGCUCACAUGACGCGGCAGGCAAGGGAGUCCGUGGCGUUUUUCCCCUUGUGGACCGAUGCUGUGUGUGUUCAUGGACAUCAUGUUUUCAAAGACAUAGCUAUGAUGGGGGCGCCAUCUAGUGUGAGGCCUUGCAACUAGGUGGCCACCUGUCGUCGAUCUCUGCAACUACCAGCCGUCAACAAGCAACAUGGCGGUCACUGGUCACUCGGGUGUUCCGGAGCGGUUUCUUCACCACGGAACCGUUGAUUUUAGAAUAAAUUGUUUUUCUCCACUCUA